GAUGAACGCUGGCGGCGUGCCUAAUACAUGCAAGUCGAGCGAACAGACGAGGAGCUUGCUCCUCUGACGUUAGCGGCGGACGGGUGAGUAACACGUGGAUAACCUACCUAUAAGACUGGGAUAACUUCGGGAAACCGGAGCUAAUACCGGAUGAUAUAUUGAACCGCAUGGUUCAAUAGUGAAAGACGGUUUUGCUGUCACUUAUAGAUGGAUCCGCCCCCCAUUAGCUAGUUGGUAAGGUAACGGCUUACCAAGGCAACGAUGCGGAGCCGACCUGAGAGGGUGAUCCGCCAGACUGGAACUGAGACACGGUCCAGACACCUACGGGAGGCAGCAGUAGGGAAUCUUCCGCAAUGGGCGAAAGCCUGACGGAGCAACGCCGCGUGAGUGAUGAAGGUCUUCGGAUCGUAAAACUCUGUUAUUAGGGAAGAACAAAUGUGUAAGUAACUAUGCACGUCUUGACGGUACCUAAUCAGAAAGCCACGGCUAACUACGUG
rnacentral:rRNA from 1 species